AUUAUUCUGAUGGUAUUGCUGAGUUCCCCUAAGUCUGUCUUCAUUUUUGGUUGUUUUUUUCCUCUCUCUGUUCAGCUUGAUUGUUUUCUAUUAUUCUGUCCUACAGGUCAUUGAUCCAUUCUUCUUCCUCUAGUCCACUGUUUAUUCCAUCUACUAUAUUAUGAAUUUCACUUACUGAGUUCUUUAUCUCAGAUUGGUUCUUUUUAUGUUUUCUAUCUGUUAAGGGUCUCACUAAGGUCCUCCACUCUUUUCUCCAAUCCUGUGAGUAUCUUUAUGACCAUUACUUUAAAUUCUUCAUCAGGAAUAUAUACUAUUUUGUUCCAUUUUGUUUAGCUCUCGUUACGAUUUUGUCCUGUUCAUUUGUGGUAUAUUCCUGUAUCUCAUUUUGUCUCUCUGUGCCUGUUUCUGGGUAUUAGGAGAGUCAGCUACCUCUCCUGCUCUCGAAAGUUAUGGUCUUAUGAAGAAGAGGUCCUGUGGUCCCUGCAGUGCAGUUCCCCUGUUUACCAGGACUGUGUGCUUUAGGGGAUGUCUGCUGUGUAUGUUGUGAGUGCCCUUUUAUAGUGGCUUCAGUCCGGUCAUCUACAAUGAUGCCUGUUGUGGGCAGGGUUUGGUCCCUGAGUUGUCAGUGGGCCAGUCUGGGGCCGCAUCUGGCUUGAGUUGAGUCAGACCAGGUGUUUGCUAGAGAUGCAGUAGCACCGAACUACUGGGCGGUUUCCUUGUGUUGUCCCAAGAAGCUUCUGUUGGUGGUUAGGGCCUGCAGUCCAACCAAAUAUCUGUUCCCAGCCCAUUGCUGGGACCAUAGUCAGAGUGGUGUGUGUGAUUGUCUUCUCCUUUCCCUGGGGCAGGAGUAAUGCUGUUCCCCGUCUGGGCUGCAUGCACAUUGUCAGGCUUGUAACGCUCACUGCUUUGGAUGGGCUCUGGCCAAAGGGUGCCCUGGAGGGAGCAGGUCCACAGGAGAAUGUGGGGAUGCACUUGGGAGGGGACCUGUGGUCACCCAAAAUCCCUGCCGAGGCGUCUGGGUUGGAGGGGACAGAUCCACAGAAGUGUGGGGAUGGGGUGCAUGUUGUUAUCAAGCCAGCUGGAGAGUGUUGUACUCUGCUGGUUCCUGCAGCUGUCCCUGUAUCUAGGCUGGGGGGUGGAGGAGGGAAAUAGCAUUCACCAGUUCCUUUGUUCUUGAAGGAGUCUCCCAAGAAUCCCUGCCCUGCGCCUUCAGAACAUGCUCUGAGGUUAGUAAACGAGUCUCCCUCCCGUACACCCAGGUGUUUUUCAGACUGCUGCUUCUAUGUUGUAUCUCCACAGGGCUGUUUGUUGUGCUAUUUAGUGGCAAGGAGUCAGUUGACUCUUGUCCUCUCCCAGAGCUGAGCCCUCAUAUUUAAAGUUCAGACUGAUUCUAAGAACUAGUGAAAUUAUGCUAUUUUGAUUUUCAAAGCUAAAUGUUAGGGGAUUCAUCUUCCCUGUAUGGGCUCCUGUGCCUGGGGUGCCUGGUGUGAGGGUCUGUUUCUUGUCCCUGUCCGUAUCUGGGGCGUCCCUCCCUCGCAUGAAUGGUCUUGUGGUCCAUUUAGUUUCCAACCAGGUCUCUACCUUUCCUGUCCUCUUCGGUGUGGACUCUAAUCUACAUUUAGCUGUGGAGAGUUUCUUCUGCCCUGUUCUAUUUUUAAAGCAUUUAUAAACAGUGUUUUUAAUUUAUCUUCUUGCUAGGUCAUUAUUAGUUUAUAGAAAGGCAGCAGAUUUCUGUAUAUUGAUUUUGUAUCCUUCAGCUUUUACUGAAUUCAUUUAUUACAAUGGUAUUUUUGGUCUUUAGAAUUUUCUAUAUAGAAUAGUAUGUCGUCUACAAAUAGUGACGGUUCUACUUCUUGCUUACCAAUUUGGAUGUCUUUUAUUUAUUAUAUGAUCAUUAUGGCUCAGAUUUCUGUACUGUGUUGAGUAAACACGGUGAGAGCAGAUGUCCUUGUCCUGUUCCUGAUCUUAGAGGAAAAGCCUUCAGCUUUUCAUUAUUGGGUAUGAGGUUAGCUGUGGGUUUGGGCUUUUAUUAUGUUGAAGCAUAUAUACCCACUUUGUUGAGAGUUGUUACCAUGAACAGGUGUUGAGUUUUGUCAUAUGUUUUUUCCUGUAUUUAUUGAGACCAUGAUUUUGAAUCCUUCAUUUUGUUAAUGUGUAUCAUCACAUUGAUUUGCAGAUACUGAACUAUCCUUGUAUCCCUGGAAUAAAUCCUUUUUGAUCUUGCAGGCUGAACUUUGGUCUGCACUGAAGAUGCACUGUCACCAAGUGACAGGGCUGCCUUUGGGUAAAGCCUCAGAGUCCAAAUGGCCAAUUGAUCGUCCACAGGUGAGUUAUCCAUAGAGAUUUAACACUAUUUAUGACAACACUGUGUUUUUGUAAUAGAAUUUGUUAUUACAGCAGUUAAGUUUGAGGACUGAAGGAGCCACUAAUUUGAUAAUAUGUAAUGUAUACAGAGUAAGAUUUAAAGAAAUAUGAAUGCCCAGAAACAAUACUUUAUUCAUUAAUGCUUAAUUGUUAUCAAUGACAGCUUAAUCUAACCUUGAUUUUGCCAUGUGGUUUAUGCAGAAUGCCUUUUCAAUUCACUGAUUAUCAACACACUGUGAAAGUCCACUGGGGUCAUAGAAAUGACUUCUCAGUCCAAUGUGCUACUCAUGUCACCGGACUCCUGUCUUUGGGGCUAAUGCACAGUCAACACACCUUCCUACCAUCUCUGCAAUGGCUCACAGGAGGUUGUGAAGAGGUCUCUGAGGAUAUUAGGUUUGGAUUUCCCGAAGCAGAAAAGAUUAACUAACUGUCAUCUUCAUUGUGGUUGUUUUCUACAUAAACUUAUCUAAUGUUCAAUCUGUAACAACUGGUCUCCAGCAACCACAUACACCCAGGGUUAGAAAUAAUACUUUGUAUUAGGGUUUAGAGGAACUAACCCACUUCAGGGAAGCUCAAGGGUGGAAAGAGCACUUGAAGUCAGAUCAGGCCACUUAUUAGCUGGACGGUCCUGGGCAAGUCAUGUCACACUUCUGAGCCACAGUAUCCUCAUCUGUAAAAUGAACAUAAACCACCGAGCAAAUACUACAUACUGAAUAAGACUAGAUUGCUUUGCAGGAAUUUUCAGUUCUCAUCAGGCCCCAAACUAUCUUCCUAACUUGAUCUCUUACCCAUUCCUUCCAGAUGCAUUGUUUCCAGCCUGUAGGCCUUUGCACCUGGCUGCUGUCUCAGCCUAGAAUGCCCUCUACCUCAUUUCAGCAUAUAAAGAUCCUCCUUUCCCUCCAGGCAACUCAAUGCCACCUGUUUUAAAAAGCUUUUUUAUUUUUUUUUAAUUUUUUGCUCUUUUAAGCCAAAGGGUCAGCUUUCUCUCCCUUAAAAUUCUAUCGCACGUUUUAUGAAAUCUUGCACAACAUUUAUCACAAGCUGCCUUGUUUAACUGUAAACAGAUUCACUCUCCCCUAUUAGCACACAGUCUCAAAGUGCAUUCCUUUUCUGGCACAAUGCUUGGCACAGUGGCUUGUGUGUAAAAAAUGGCCAAGAAAUGCUGGCAGGAGCAAGAAAAUCGUUGAUAUUUACUAAUAUAAAGAGCUAAGUGAACUUACGGGGAGACUCUUGCCCUGCUCCUUUUCUGUGGGUUGCAUUAUGGGUUGCCCUCCAUCCCAGGCCCUUAUAUUCUGUAAGGUGGAUGGACCAUGUGAACGUGGAUGACGAGUUUCAUGCCACGUGCCCACGUGAACUGUUCUGGCAAAAAUAACCUGCUUUGUCCAUGAUCACCAGAGGGUUUGUGAGAACAGUCACAUCAAACACAUUCUUCAGAGGAUGGCCUGUCAACAGAACUAGUAAAUGUGACCUUAAGCAUAAACCCCAGUGACCUGGUAAGUGGAUAGAGGAUACUUUCCUCCAUCACAAGCCAUCCAUCAUUCUCCAGGAGGAUAAAAAAUGCUUUCUCUCCUCUACCCUGCUGUCCAGGCCACCUCCAUUAGCCGUGAUGGUUCACAGUGGUCAGUGGGCCUCCUAGUAGCAGGCCACAGCCUCUCCUCUGCUUUUUUGGGUUCCUCACGGAUCAAAACAGCAAAAUAGCUUCAUUCAACAGGUCUAUACAGCUUGGCAUAUGUUUGAGCCUAACUUGUUUUCUUUCACCUAAAACUAUGAAAAGAAGUUAUGUAAAACCUACUAGAAGGCUCUGAUGGGACUCUCUUCUGAACAGCAGGGUUACUUAGUAGUUAUGUCCAUACCAUGAAAAUCUUGGGUACCAUUUUACAUGUAUUGAUAUUAUUAAGAAUUAUCAACCAUUAUUAUCGUAGGAUUGCCACUCCUUCAUUCAGCACCUCUUGAGCACCCGUGUGGUAGGCAACGUGCCAGGAGCCAGGGACGCAACGUCCAACAAGACACGUCAGAUUUCAUGGAGCGGAUACUCUUGCAAGGGAGAAAAGUGGACAUUUACUUAUUAACUUGCUAAAUAAAACAGCAGUAAGUCCAGUGAGGGAAAAGUGCCAAGAUAACACAUCUAGAAUAACCUGAUCUCACUCUUAGUUUGUUUAGGGGUGGAGAGGCCAAGGCUGGUUUUCCCUAAGAACUGGCUUGUGAGUAAGCUCUGAAGGAUAAAGAUGCAAAAAAUAAAUAAAAAUGUACAAUUUAAAAGGAGGGGGAGACAAUUCUAUAGGAGUGGAAAGCAUUAUUAUUAAUAAAAGAACAAAACUAUUUUGCUUGUUUUCUCUACUGUUUUGUCUUUGGAGGAACUGCAUACCCGUUUUGAUUUUUUCCCCCAGGGUAAUUCAGCAGGUUAAUCUUCAAAGAAUGAUCAUCUUUCCUGUGGAUUUCACAAGGUUUUGCCUCGGACAAGUUUGCUUUCAGAAGCCUGAAACCACAGAGCUGGCAUUGUAUGGAGAACUCCACAGCAUACUUUUGUCUUUUGAGAGACAAUUCUAUGAGGUUAAUGUUUACUGAGCAGCUACUGUGUGCCAGUGAGUCAAGUUCUCUGAGUACGUUUUCUCAUUUAAUCUGUGACAGGUACCAUAGCCAUCACCUCCACCUGACAGAUGAGGAAACUGAGGCACAAAAAGGCCAAUUUGGCCAAGGGCACCCUGCUGGUGAGUGGCAGAGUCCAGAUUGGGAGACCAGCAGUGAGGGACUCAUCUUGACAUCCUGCUGCUGGCCAAAUACACCACAGGCUUCCCCACCUCCCAUGCCUUUGCUCAAGCCCUUUGCCCCACCUGGAACGCCAACUGUUCCUUCUCUCCUCCCCAUCUCCGCCUGAUAAGUUCUCCUUCUAAGCCCCAUCUGAAACAUGACUUCCAUUGUAAAACCACCCUCCUUUCUCAGAUUAGAAACUGUAAAGAUAAAGGUACCAAGACAAAAAUAAAGGGCAAAAAAAUUUGUUCCUGC